rnacentral:rRNA from 1 species
UACGUAGGUCCCGAGCGUUGUCUGGAUUUAUUGGGCGUAAAGCGAGCGCAGGUGGUUUAUUAAGUCUGGUGUAAAAGGCAGUGGCUCAACCAUUGUAUGCAUUGGAAACUGGUAGACUUGAGUGCAGGAGGGGAGAGUGGAAUUCCAUGUGUAGCGGUGAAAUGCGUAGAUAUAUGGAGGAACACCGGUGGCGAAAGCGGCUCUCUGGCCUGUAACUGACACUGAGGCUCGAAAGCGUGGGGAGCAAACAGG